CUUCUUUUCCAGGAUGGGACCCAAUAAAUUACUUGCAGCCUGCACCCAGAAUCAGUGAGUAACCUCCUCAUAAUGUUUGAGUCUUGGCUACUAACAGAUUAGCAGAGCAGCAACUAGACUAUCUUAAAACCUCAGCAUUAUGUCUAAGUGCCUGUUCUGGUGUUGAUUACCAUCACCAGAAGGCACAACCCAGGUGGCUCUGUUGAAGUGUAUAAAGUGUCAGAGAAUGGGAAGAGAAGCAAGCAGACCAUGACCCAUGCCCUCAAGGAAUUUAUAAAGGAAACCAAAGCCUUCAAAGAUAGAUUUCUCUGAUAUCUAGCUUAGUGAAUAAGUAAUAUUUAUCUUAUUUGGAAAAGUUUACAUUUUUAUUUUGAAAGCAUUUACCACUUCUGCCUGGAACAUUGGACCAUAUUCUUUAGUUUCCAAGGUCCCUUCCUUUAUAAAUAUAGUAAGACCUUCUUAACUCAGAUGUUGUUAAUGAACAAUUUUUGAAUCAUUAUUCUAGACUAAUCGGAAAUAUAUUGUUGAAUGGUCUGCAAAGAAUGGUUAUGCUACACACAAUAGAGAGAACUCUUGAUAACCCGUGCAAAAAGAUUGCAUUAUUCUCAUGGGUCUUCAUAUAGCGGUCUUUAGGCAAACACAUUCAGCUAUAAAAUAAGGAUCCAUGUCAUUAAGUAGAUGUCUCCUUAGACAGACUUUAUUGGCAGAUCAUAGUAUUGAAGGUAAUAAAACUGCAUUGCUUUCAAUAAAUUCCAACUUCCCUAAUUCAGUCUAGCCUUUCUUCCUUACCUUGCCAAACUCAUUAUUUCAAUCAGAUGAAGUUUACUAUUGUGCAAUUUGUGAAUAUACAUAUUUACCAAUAGAAAAUGAUCAGUUCCUAUUAUUUCAUUUGAAAAUUAAUAAAUAGAAAUUUUAGGUUUUAGGAUGCAUUUCUGUAACAUGGGUCACAGGAUAAUAGUAGUAUAUUUACUUUCUUUCACAUGAAAAAUGUUAUACCAUUCCAUUUCCUUUUUUAUAGUUUCAUACAGUAGGUUUUUUAGUUUUGGUUUUGUUGUUGUUGUUGUUUUCACUUAAAACUCAAUAUUUUCACAAAGCAAGCAAGACCACUUUCCAGUACCACAGCAGAUUUGAAGUGAGGGAAAAAAUCAGACUAUGUCCUCCUUAGAGCAUGUUGAAAAACUGGAAUGGUAACUGAGUCACCUUUCAUUUCUUUAUUCCUUUAUUCAUUCCACAAACACUAAGCCAUGGGCCAUGCUUAUUGCAGUCUAGGGAAGUAGUGAUAAAUAAAAUCCUUUUCUUUGUAUUCACUAUGUUGGCAGCUUUAAAACUAAGAAAGAGAUAGAGACAAAUAAUUUUCCCAUAUGAUAAGUGACAUGUUAUCCCAAUAAGCAAAGUGCUUUGGGAACACAGAAACCACAUCACUAGAAAAACUGGGGAAAUACUCAUAGUAGGUAUAACACUUAGCUGAAUGAAUAGAAUUCCUACAAGUAGAGAAAGGAAGGAAAGCUUUACAAGCAAAAGAAGAGCAUAGAAAGCUCUAGAAAAAUAGAGCACAGUGGGAGUUAGUAGUGCAGAGCUACAGGGUGGGAGUGGUGUAUGGUAUGUGAAAAGCAUAUGAUCAAGAAAAGAUGCUUUUGAAGGAUUUCAAAAUGACCCCUGGAGUUCAGAGAGAAAGACUGGAGAGUCAUCUGCACAGAGUUGAAAUGUAAAAACAUGGGAAUAAAUGAGACCACUUGAGGAUGGAGAGAGAACUUUCAGGAACACGGUAUAAAACAAGUUUCUUUCUGAGACAGAAGGAAAAGGGGGAUUUAAAAAAAAUAGAUAAACUUGAAGGUGAAUGCAAAGAAAUUUCAGGAAGUUUAUGUCUGAGAGCUUCCAUUUUCUUUCCCACUGUCUGGUUGGAAAAGCGUGCGAUAUGGAACUGGAGGACACCAGUUUGAAAACUAAUUUAGCCACCCAUGAUCCAUGGGACGUGGGCAGGUCAUACAAUCUCUCCAGAUGUCAAUGUCACCAUGCGUAAAAUGGACGCAAGGAUAACAAUGAAUUAAUGAGUUUGAGAACUUUAUAAUCAUGUGAAGGUGCUUCAUAAACUAUAAAACACUAUGCUGAGAAGCAGCUAGAGUGGCCAGAACACUGCUGAGCUACCUGGCUGAACUCUUGUGUAUGUAAGAGGGAUAACAGUGCAUAGAUUACAGAGGUGGCUGAGAGCAGGAAAGAGGUAUGUAUGUCCUGGGUGUGCCCAUAAAUGAUGCUCUAGAGUUGGGGCUGCAGGACUGUUAUCCUGUGUGAGUUAUCUCCUGUGACUGUUAUCUAUGCUCCUCCACAUCUCUCUGCUUUUGCUUGUACUGCUGGAAAAGAUUUCCUUCCUUUCUCUACUUGUGGGAAUUCUAUUCAUUCAGCUAAGCUUGCCCCAGGAUACCUCCACAUCCAUCCCCACUGUUUCUGGAGAAAGAGGGGAAAAAAAUCACAAUGAGAAAUGAAUAGAAGAAGGGGAUAUAUAUAAAUGUUUUUAAAGCAGAAUGAAGAUCCCAUUUUUAAAACAUGACUUUGCAUAUAGGGCCAUACUAUAUGCAGCCACAUGGAUAAUUGGAUAAUCUGGGAUUGGAGGAAAUCAAAGCAGGUACCCUAGUGGCUAAGGGAUAGUGCUUUUGAAAGAGAAAUUGGAAAUGUUGGUCAAUGCAGAUUUCAGAAAUUUAGAGGCCUUAUACUCAAGGGUUGGUGACCUGUCCUCAACUCUGUUUUGGCUGAAUGAUGCCUUUUCUGUUCAAUAUCAAUAGCCUGUGAUCCUAAGAUUCUUGUCAUUGUCCAAAAAAGUGAGUGGCUUACUCUAAAGGUAGAGUUCCUAUAUGUCCGCAUGUUCACAUGUUCUCAACUAUCAGCUAAACUCCAGCCACAGGCCUACUUCUCAGAGUAGGUCAGUGGUUGGCAAGACCCCUGACUGGCCUUCCUCUCUUCCCACAGCCCACCCUUAUCUCACAGUCCUGAUCUCAACCUCUCCUUGCACUUGAGCUUGAGUUUUCUAGCACAAUGCUUUUCCCAUCUCCUCUGGAAUAGAAAAGCACAAUUUGCCUCAAGUUCACCUGCCACCUGCUCCUCAGGCCUUCACACAAUUCUAAACCUCAGCAUAGGAUUUGCAGGUUGCAAUAUACAGAACUGCAUGCACAGCCUCCCAUGCUUGGACAAGGGUUAUCUCACUAGCCACUAGGAAAAUGUCUUGUGUCCUCUUAAAAUGCUUAGUGAGCCUUGGGGAUCCCAAGCAAGAGCUGCCAAGAUCUGUCUUGAUAGUUACUAAACUUUCCUCAGAGGGAGAUUUGAAUUGCUAGGGCUCUCAUCCUUAAUUUGCCAAAUGGCAGUAAUAAAGAAAAUAUAGGCUAAAUCUUGCACGUUAUUGACUGCUAUUUUAAUUAAUGUAAAACAUAUUCUUCAUUUGGGAACAUGGUUGACUCAUUCAGUCAGUGAUUAUUCAUGAAAGAUGAAUGCAAGGUGCUAGCAACUAUUGAAGAUCUUUGAAGAAAAUGAAUAGGAGCAUCUUCUAUGAAUAAUAUUUGCAACAUUAGGAAAAACCUGUCAAAUCCAGACGAAAUUCUAGGUUUCUGUGAAACUAUGACUCCAGAGAUUAAUUAGAAGUUGGGAGAGCCCAGAGCUUUUUCUUCUGUGUCCUUCCUCCUCCAAUCAACUCCUCUUUUGUCUCAACCUGAGUCACAUGAAAUUCACCUCCAAACUCCCUGCUUCCUGUACAUUCCUUCAGUUGACUGGAGUGACCUGUUAAUAUGCAGCUUGCCCCAAGACACCUCAACAUCCACUCCCCACAUGUGGGACUUCUCUACAUGGCCUGAGCCACACACAGUGCAGAUACAUCUCUGCCUUCCCCAAGGAAGGACCCAUUGAUGCAUUGCCUCCUGUGGUGCAGACAGGGUAUUUUCCCUCCAUCCCAUAAACGCCUAUCAGUCUUCUUUUGAAUGUGCUUUUGAAUCACCCAUCUCUUGCCAGCCAGACCCCAGUGGCCCCUGAAAUUACCAUCUCACCCCUGCCUUCUUUCUACUGAAGAAGCAGCUCAUCUCUUCCUGAAAGCCCACACAGAGGUGGACAUCUCUUCAUUUUAUUUUUUUGUUCAACCACACUCUACUUCUCUUUCUUGUUUAAUCAGCCUGCCUUCCAUUUCUGGGUUCUUCAUAUAUUCUCUUCUUUACUCACACCUUCUUUCUACCCUUCAUUUAUCUCACAGGUCUUACUGACACUUGGGAUUGUCUUCUAUCACUUUUCCAUGUAGUUGGAAGAAAUAAGACAUGUCCAUUCAGUGGCAAACUGAAAAUUAGGACUACGGUGGCAUUUCAGUUACAUUUUUCUCAUUGUUCUUCAAAAAUCCUCUGCUAGUAGGGAAACAGCUUUAUUUGGCUUUAUUUGGCAAUCCCAUGAGUCUCUGACAGCAAGAAAACAGCCCAGACUGUAACAUUUCAGAUUUGGGGAAUCUUGAUAAAAUGUUGUAGGCAGAAUCUAAAACUUGAAUUUUCUACUCUAGGUUCUAUGCUUCCCUAGGAUAGAGAGUAGGGGGGGAAUGGCUUCUAUUUAAUGAACAGAGAGUAAUUCAGAAUCAUUUCUUAGGGCUAAUGAACUGAGAAAUGUCCUUUGAAACUUCAGGAAGAAAAUCUUCUAGCAGGGUUUAUGUACCAGCCAAAGAAUACACAUAUUCAAGGGGAAUACCAUUUUAUAUCUUGAUAGCAGACUGUACUCUGCCAAAGGAGAAGCCUACUUUGUGCACAAGCUGCAGGGGUGGGAGACUUUAAGGAAAGACACACCCCUCUCGAGCUAUUACAGAUGCUCUCAUUCAGAGUGAGUUGCGCUUGUGCCUUAGAGAAGCUUAGCAUUAACUAGGAGCCUCCUCCUGGGCACAGUUCCUGGAAGGGACAGUAUCUACUGGUACUCAGUGUUCUUGGUGCUGAUUAAACUCAAACAGAAGGAAGGAAGCACAGCCGGCAGUGAUGAGUGCCACAGGUUGUAGAGAUGCGUGGCCUAGACCUGAGUCCAUAUUCCAUCUCGCAAAAAAGAAGCUGAGGUGCUAGAAUCCGGGUUGGGUUGUUUUAAAGCUCAGAGGUAAAGAGGGCAGUUACCCAUCCUGUUGUAUUGAUCGCCAGUCCCCAGCAGCCCCACUGUUCCUUCCACACGCCAUAGGGCAUGCUUCCCAUUGUCAGCCCGAACAUCCUUCUCUGUAAAUCCAGGAUUAUCAAAACUGGUAGGAAGGGAUAGUUAGACUUUUCUGCAGCCUUCCUGAGCUUAUGUGAGAAUUAAGCCUUACAAAUCUUGUAAGAUUGGAUGAACAUGAUAUUUUUUUAAAUGAAGUCUCAACCUUAAGAUUCGUGGCCUAAAGAUUUCAGCUGACAAGUCCCAGAGCUGCAGAGGAACAGGAGUCCAUCCUCCUUGAUGGCCUCCACCCCCCCCCCCUCGAAGGACCACUGCAGCUAUUCACACAGCUGUAAAUUCUGCACAAAUGGAUGCUGUCAUUCUCCUAUCCAGAACAAUAAACCAUGGAGUUGUUAGGGUCUUUCUUCUUUUGUAGGGGAAGGGGUUGUACAUUUUUAUUCUUGUAUGGAAAUAAUUAACAAAGAAAAUGUGGCACCCCACAGUUAAUUUGGCUGUUCUUUUAAAUGUUUUCCUGGUACCUGAAUUAUACAGACAUAUUAUUUUAAUAAGCUGAUCUGCAAGUGUUUUUCCCCUUCUCAUUGAGGUUCGAAGUAAUCUAGAGGGUCAAGGUUUCCAAUCUUUUUCUCUUUCAUUAAAAUGAUCUGUCAUUUCCAUUGUGGCUACACCCAAAAGUCAAUUUUUUUUUUCCGUUUUGUUAAAGUGCCCUAUAGAGUAAUUCAGUGGUGAUAAAGAUGGAAUUCUUCUCAAAGUGUAACUACUCCCCUUGCUGGAAUAAAGUGGCAAUGACAUUCAUCUUUGGAAAUUGAAUCCUAUGCAGGGCAAGGCUUUUUUUUUUUUAAUUUUUGGGUUUUUUUAUUUUUUUGGAACUUUUUGUUCUUGAACAUAACACUAAAUUGAGACAGUUUAAUGAGACUGGAUACAUUCAUCUUAUCAUCAUUGUACUUUGUAUAUCAGGUAGACUAAAUUUAUGGUACUGCAUGAGAUAUUUUUUAAGGUUUCUCAUGCCUAGAAAGUAAGAAAAUAUGGUCUGGGGCUGUAGCUCAGUGGCAGAGUGCUUGUCUAGCAUGUGUGAGGCACUGGGUUUGAUCCUCAGUACCACAUAAAAAUAAACAAAUAAAUAAAGGCAUGUUGUCCAUCUACAACUACAAAAAAAAUUAAAAGAAAGUAAGAAAAUAUUACCGAUGGUGUUCAAUGAUGAAAUUCUUUUAUAAAUAAUAGAAUUUCUUAAUUUGUUAAGUGAGGUACAAUUUAUACACAAUAAAAUGCACAAAUCUUCAUUCAGUGUUCAAUCCAAUGAGUUUUGAUAAUUGUAUGUAUCUAUAUAAUAGCCAUCCAAACUAAGGAGUUGACUCUUACACACUAAAUAGUUCUCUUAUCUUCCCUUCCAGUCAAUUCCAAUCCCAGACCCACUACCUUUCUUCCUCUAUACCCCUCACUGGCUAGACAACACUUUCUUAUUUCUGUCCCUGUAGUUUAUUUUGGCUUAUUCUGAUUCUCGAACAUCACAUCAAUGAAGCCAGAUAGCACAUGCUUUAUAAGGGUUUCUUUCACACAUUAUAAUAUUUUUAAAAUUACUGCACAUAUCUUUAGUUCAUUCCUUUUUAUUGCAGCAUAAUAUUCCAUUGCAUGGCUAUGUUAUUGCAUUGUCUAUAGUUAUUUACUGAUUAUUUUUGUCUUUGGCAUUUGAGUUGUUCCUAGUGCAGGGAUAUUAUGAAUAAGACCAUAUCCACAUUUUUGUACACUUUUGUUUAUAAAUAUGAUUUCAUUUCUGUUGGAUAAAUGCCAAGAACUGAAAUUGCUAGAUGAAGGUUAAUGUUUAACUAUGUAAGAAACUGCCCAACCACUCACCAGCAGCACUGAAAGUUCCAUAAGUGCUUCAUCCACACUGACAAUGGAUAUAAAAUCGUACCUUGUAUGAUUUCAAUUUGCAUAUCUCCAAGGCUGUUUGUUCAUCUUUUUGUGUGCUUAUUGCCCAUUUGUAUACCUUCCUCAGCGCAAAGUCUAUUCAAGUUUCCUCUCAUUUUUGUUGAAAACAAAACCAAAAAAAAUAGAUCAAUUGUCUAGUGUUGAUGUUAAGAGUCCUUAUAUUCUGGAUAUAAGCAUUUUGUCAGAUACAUUCAUUGUAAAUAUUUCAGUUUGUGGUUUGACUAGUCACUUCAUCAAAGUCCCUCUCCAUAAGGAGAAAGUUUAAUUUGGAUAGAAAACAAUGAAUUUUUUUCUCUCUUUGGUGGUUCAUGCCUUUUAGUGUCCAAAGAAAUCUUUGUCUGCCCCUGGGUUGUGAAGAUAUUCUGUUACUGAAAACGUGGUGAUAGGAACUUUUUAAAAUUAGCAAUAAAAAUGAGGACAGUUCGAAGUCAAAGAGGCAUGUUUAUAAUAGCUACAGCACAGGACUGCUUCUAUUCUUUUCUAAAUUUGUGAUUACUUCUUAAUUUACAGAUGUCUUUUUAAUUCAUCCCCCUUUCAUCAAAGAAAUAGAAGGUAGUAAUAGAAACUUACAUGUUUUGGGAACUGUCACACUUAAAGCACUGGGGAAUCUCAGUGUGAGGUUUGAAUGCCCUAUGUAUGAUAAUGACUUUAGAUAAUGAUCUUUAUGUCACAAGUGAUUUUACAGCACUAUUCAUUGUCCUUCAGCAAUGACCUCAAUUCCAGGGAGACAGAGCAGGCUAUUUGUAUCCUUUAUCCUCACCUUUGCAGCAAGAGAAUGAUAGCAAAUUAUCAAAUAGCUUAAUAAUAUCGCUUAUUGCAUAAAUAUGUGAAAUCAUUAAUACCUUAAAAUAUAAACUCUCAAAUGUAUUUAUAUAUAUGCACACACACAUAUCUCCCUAUCUAUAUAGAUAAAGAUAUAGACAUAGAUAUAUAUAGAGAGAGAGAGAGAGAAAGAGAUAAAAACAGAUACAAACGUAUAUAAAAGAACCUCAUCACCUUCAUUAAAUCGAUGCUCUAACAUCACCAGAGCUUAGAAAAUCUCUAACAAGCCAGGCAUAAUGGCACAUGCCAGUAAUACAAGAGGCUCAGGAGGCUGAGGCAAGAGGAUCAUGAGUUCAAAGCCAACCUCAGCAAAAGCGAGGCACUAAGCAAUUCAGUGAGACCCUGUCUCUAAAUAAAAUACAAAAUAGGGCUGGGGAUGUGGCUCAGUGGUCAAGUGCCCCUGAGUUCAAUCUGUAAUUACCACCACCCCCCAAGAAAAAAGCUCUAAACAGAAUUUAUCCCUUUACCUAUUGUUUAUUGACCCAUACUGUGUGCUAGAUACUGGAUACAGGGUUGCAAACAAACGACCAGGUGCGUGACCUCUGGGGGCUUACGGUCUAAUGGGGAAACAGUUCGUCAAAUAACAAAGGAAAUGUUAUUGAUUUCAUUAGAUGCUCUGCAGGAAUAUUGCAGGGUGCUGUAAAGACAGUACAGGGAAGACCUGUUUCAGGGAGGUCUGCCUGAGCCGGUGGCAGAAUCAGAGACUUGGACUGAGGGGAAACAGCUUGCAAGUAUGAGUGGUGAUGGAUAGCACUUCACCUAGACGGUCAGGGUCACUUGCUGGUGUUCAUUGAAUAGACAAAAGGUCCACAGAAGUGUGAGGCAGAGAGAGGGAUGCUGACCAAAUCCCAUUGGGGACAUGAGGUGGAUGUUGUUGAAGAAGGCUGUAGAAGGCCAAGGACCAGAUGAUUAGGAAGACUCAGAGUCUUAAAAUCAUGUCCAGGACUUAGAAUGAGACCAUGGGAGGGACACCACAUCUCACAAACCUAGCCAGUUAUUAUUACUCCCUUCUAAGGCAGGUAACGUGGACUGGAGAGAAUCAGGGAACUGCACAAAAUAAUGGCUUUAAAAGGAGUCCAUAGGAAUUAUGCAGUUAGAAAAGAAAGGAAGGCGUCCUCUACCCCGUUGGUCAGGUUUAAUAAACAUUUGAGGCUUAUCUAGUCUAUUGGAGUACAGGAGCCCCUACAAGAUCCUCUCUGCAAUUUGAAUUUUUCCAGUCAUUAUAAUCUGCCUAUAUGGAAGGGUAGACAAGAUAUGCUAGCAGGUAUCCCUUCCUUGGAUCUUCAAGAGAGACAGACGUGUGACUGGGAGCUACCAACAAGGUUGUGGUCAGACUAUUGAAUGCACCAGGGCCAGUGUCCCCUCCUUGAUCCAAUACCUUACUGUGGCCAUGUAGCAAGUGCCUGUCUUCCUCCUCUCUAGUCAGCAUCUACUACCAACAGCACAUGGCACAACCCCCUCUAGGGAUCAGCCGAACCUGGGAAAAGAAAAGGUAUGGGCCCUUGACACUGGAGAGGCUGGAGCCUUUAGAGAAAACUGCAUCAGAGUAAUAGAAUGUGGGCAUGCAGUGCCAGGAUGGUGAGCCUGCAUCAGGGCCAGCAUGCACUGGCUACAAAAUGCCCUAGCGAGGACGUCAAAGACUUUUGACAUUUUUUAGCUCUUCUAUUCAGUCGGAUAUCUGAAAAUGCCAAAAACAACAAUAACAAACUAGUUUUGGGAAGAGGAUCAGAAAUGAAUACUCAAGAUUAUUAAUUUCAUAAGUGGGAGUCAAAAAACUCAAUGUAGAGAUGAACAAGUAAGUGAUGGACAGAGUCUCAGUGACACUGUGGGCGUUGAUGAAAAAAAAAAGAAAAAUGAAAAGUAGACAUGCAUUAAAAGAAUGGCAAACACUAGCUGGGCACAGUGGUGCACACCUGUAAUCCCAGUGUCUCAGGAGGCUGAGGCAGGAGGAUCGAGAGUUCAAAGCCAGCCUCAGCAAUGGCAAGGUACUAAGCAACUCAGUGAGACCCUGUCUCUAAAUAAAAUCCAAAAUAGGGCUGGGGAUGUGGCUCAGUGGUUGAAUGCCCCUGAGUUCAAUCCCUGGUACACCCCUCUCCAAAAAAAGAAAAAAAGCAAGGGACUGGGGAUGUGGCUCAAGCGGUAGUGCGCUCGCCUGGCAUGCGUUCGGCCCAGGUUUGAUCCUCAGCACCACAUACAAACAAAGAUGUUGUGUCUGCCAAAAACUAAAAAAUAAAUUUUAAUUCUCUCUCUCUCUCUCUCUCUCUCUCUCUCUCUCUCUCUCUCUUUAAAAAAAAGGCAUAGUCUUCUGCAACUCUUUAAAAAAAUGCAAGCACUAGAAAAGCAAAUAAUAAGAAAAAUAUAAGUUAAGACAAAUCUAGUAAAAUAUAUUGUUAACAAUGUUCAUUACAAGAAAUCUAAUAGAUGUAAACCAGAAAAAGUUUUCCCUACUAGUCUUUAUAAUGUGUAUGCAAAAAAAAUUUAAAUCAACCAUUAUUUGCUUAAAACUUUUGUUUAAAAAAAAUGGACUCUAUUUCUCCCAAAAAUCAUCUAGCUCUUGAUUUACUGCUUUUGAAAUCCAGAGGUAACUCUAGAGAUAAACUCAGACGUUUGGUAAUAGGGAAGACUGGGAGUCUCUUUUACAAUGCUAUAUAUAUUUUUGUUGAGUUGGUUGCAAAAACAUUAGUUUUAACAGAUCUGUGAUUCUUUAAAAAGGUUUUCCAUUCAUUGUAUUAGAUAUUUUUUCCAUACCUCCUGAGGCUAAAUUUUGCUAGUUGAUAUCACCAUGGAAUUGGAACAUAAGAGCAUAGAACUAAUUUCCUCAUUUGACUUUUAAAUUAGUUUGUGUGUGUGUGUGUGUGUGUGUGAACUAAAAUUGAAAUGUUUCGAUUAUGAAUAAUGCCAAGAUGAACUGGUACACUCCAUUGACUUUAAUGAAGUGCACAUGUUCUUGCAGGCUUCUGAAUGACAGCCUGGUUGCAGAGUUCUUGAAUCUUAAUAUUUAAUAUUUGCUGUAUGCACAUAUUUUAUUUAUGAUAAUACCAUAAUUAUAACUCUUUAAUUUUAUGAACACAAUUGAACUUAUAAUUUUUUUCAUCAAUUUUUCUAAGGGAUUGACAUUUCUAAGGGUGUGCCUAACCUAUUUUUACAUAAAAAAGUUGACAACCAAUUUAAUAUAUUCAAAUUAGCUAAGAUAUUCUACAUGACUUCUUUGAAAGGCACAGUGCCAAGAGAUUAAUUUUCAAGGAAUAAACAGAUCAUCAUUUAAAGUCAUCUAGAUUUUUAAAGUUUCAAUUCUUGAUAACCAAAAUUUUAAAAUGAAAUUUGGAUCUUUGAUGAUCAUAGUAAAAAGUAUAGAAUAAGUGAAACAUUAAACAAUACCUACUGUUGAUAUACACAAAAAAUAGAAGCAAUUGGGAAAGUUUGAAAAAUGAUAUUAAUUGCACAGUUCUUUGAGGAAGGAUUCUUGCUAAUUUUUAUAACCAAGGAGUCCAACCAUCCAUAAUAGUUGUUAGAAGAGUAAAAUGUGCUCAGAUACUUUUAAAACUAUAUUUAAACUUCAUGUCAUAUAUCAAGGUCUCAGGAUCAAGCUAUGUUUUUCCUUGUUUGAUUAUUUUUUGUUAAUUUUUUCAUGACAAACUACUAAUCAAAGUAUAAGAGAAUAUUUAAAUUAACAAUUCUUCACCGAGUAUGAAGAGGGUAAAUGACUUAAUUCAUGAAUGUAGCAAUGUUGUAUGUUACAGAGAUUUGAAAUGAACAAUGUAUUCAGUCCAUGUAACAUACUCUGAAAAUUAGCUAUUACAGUUACAUGCACACACUCAGCAAACCUUACAUGCUGCACAAAUUCAGGGAAUGAGAAAUUAGGAACACCACCUUACUUGCUACUAUUGGUACUCUGCAUGUGUCAGGAAAAGCCUUACUAGUUGAAUCAUAUAGUCCUUUAUUUCAUAAAUGAUGGAGUUUAGGUGGCCCUACCCAAGCUCAUAUCUACUUGAAAGAAUUAGGUCUAGAAGCCAACACUCCACUAUCCUGGCUUGACCUCUAUAUGACACAGGUAACAUUCAUACGCCAGGUGUCUCACCAUCUAGCACAUUAGAAAGUUCCCAUGAGGACAUGACCUAACUUAAUGUCCAGGUUCAUAGUCCGCAAUGCUUUGACUUAUAGACAGCAGCUACAAUUUUAGUUCUACGUCAAAAACUCUUGAGGGUAAAAUUUAUCAUUGUACCUUUUCGCUUUAUGUUGGAUUCUGAACUUGGAGUAUAUGUCCUGUCCAUUACCGCCUGUUUGUGUGAUUUGGGGGAAAUUAUUAUGCCUCUCUGAACUUUAGGCUUUUGUGUAUGUUUGUCUUACCAUUUGCAUGGCACAGUGCUCUGUAGACUGUAAGGAACUACAGAGAUUAUAAAUAUCCAAUGGACAGCUAUUGAUAUAUUUGUCAGUUUGUAGAAUUGGGGGCAUAUCAAUGACAGCAGAAGCCAGUGGGUGCAUGCGUGCCCUCCCACCAGUAUCUAGUGGAAGGGCUUGCUUAGGCUGAGGUAUAACCAGAUACAUGUGGGCCUGGACAUCAAGACAGGGGGAACUUGCCCCUCUUUAUAGUGUUGCCCUUAUGGAGGACAAAGGCAAGGGCAGGCUUGUCAGUAGAAGGAAAUCCACUCUUAGGAUCCGAAGUACAGGAGGCUUCGGGGAAAUACCAGCUGCUAGCACUUGCUGGGCUUGUGGGAAUUUGGAUCCUUGAAAUGCUCACGCUCCUGAGGAGAAACCAUGAGUCUAGCUCACCACCCACCUGUCACCCCACAGGGACCCCAGUGAGUGCAUUCACUCUAGCCUUCCAGUCUGCUCACAGAUAAAAGUUUGGAAACUUUUAAAUAAGAGAAAUAAACACAAUAGGUGUCCCAGGUUUACUUCUAGACUCUUCUCUUGAAGGAUCUCCCGUUUUCCAUUUCUACCCUCUCUCCUGGGCCAGCUGUUUAUUUCUUCUGGUGUGAUUUCCUAAUUGUAGCCACUACUAAUCUGCUAAUUACUCUGCUGAUUCUUAUCCAGCCCUCCCACACAAAUGAUCCCCAGUUUUGUUCCUGUCCUGUUCUUGCCUAGGCUGAGAAAGGCCCUCAAAGUUUUCAUCAUGGGGACCCGGCUUUCCAGUUCUGACUGGGCUCCAUCCCACCCACACCAGGUUUCUCUGGGCCAGGUGCUCAGGCCAUGACCUGCCUGACUCAGCAUUUUUGGAAACAUGUCUGGGCUACCCCCAAAGAGCACCCUCGGCUCUGCUGAAACAAUUCUGCAUUCUCCAAGAUAAAGUCAAGUCCUACCUGUUCAGUGGAAGGUUUCCCUGAAGCUGUUCUGGUUGAUGCGGUCCAAGCUGGACUUGUAUUUGUCUGAAUUCUUACUACUUUAGUUGUUAAGUGCUGAAUCACCUGGAAUUUAAUUGCUCUCUGAUUGUUCAACUUCCCAGGUGAGACAAAGAACUGUACUGUGACUGUGUCAUAAUGUUCCCUGCCCUUCUAACAGCCCAGGCUUAAGGACCACCUACUUCUGGAUUAACUGCUCAAUCCAUAUGCACGUGCAGGUGAAAGAUAGACUAUUUCCUUUGCUCUCCCAGCAAUCUUCCUUUUGUGAAUUGGUCCCUUUCCAUCCCUUGAGCAUUUUUAGCUCUGGAUUCUGGAAUCAGAUAGAACUGGAUUGAAGCUCUGGUUUAUUGUAUGACCUCGGGCAAGUUGUUCAGCCUCUCUAAAAUCCCUCUACAAAAUGCUGAUGUAUUAUGUCCUUCAGCCCAGACCUUCAUGUCACUAACUACCCACAAAGGCCUAGAGACAAAGCUGCCUGUGGCAACAAGUCCCUCUGGUUGUCUACCUUACACCUCUCUUCCCUUGCCCCAUCUGCAUGCUCUUUCAACAGCUCAUGGCCACAUGAGCAAGUGACCACAGCUUCUGUAGCUAUCAUCCUGAGAUCCUUUGGGACAGUCAGGAAAUACCUAAAUAUUGAGAUAAGUGUUCUCCACAUUCAUUGAGAAAGUUCUACCAAAAUCAAAAAGCUAGAUGAUAGAUAUGAGUAUCUAAUACUGGUGAGCACCUACCAGAGUCAGCAGCUCUAUAUCCUGCAAUCCUUGAAUCUGCCUUUGUAACAGUUCUUAUUAUCUUGAUGUUCUGAACAAGAAACCUGAGGUUCAGAGCAAGUAUGUUUCUUUUCCACAGUCCCAAAGGGACUAGGCAUGGAGUGUGGGUACAGCCCGAAGCUAUAGGGCCUCAAACCUUACCCUCUUUCCAUUCCACAUCAGAUCAUUCCAGGUGACCCUAGAUGAUGUCCAUCUUGAUUACACCAGCAAACUUCUAGUCAUGUAGUACAAAAACACAGAGAGAGAUGGACAUGCUUCUCCAUAGGUCAUGAAAAUUGUAAUAGUAUGAAAGCAGUCAGUUGGCAGAAGAAAACAUGAGAAAGUAUGAAAGGCAUCUUCACUUAAAUGGUUGGGGCUACAAGCCAAAGGCUUUGGCGUUCAGCUUUUGGAUAUUGAGUAACAUUUUGUGAUCUUAGGUAAAUUGACUGCAUAUAAAAAGAAAAUCCUAAUAUAUCUACAGACAUGUUACAAAUGAAAAUGAUUACUGAGUAUGAUAUAAUUAUAUUUAAUAAAGACCCUAUUAGUCUUAUGACUAUUUACAAGGUCUAAGGCACAUAAAUCUUCACAGAAAAUAAGGCUCAAGGGCAAAACAAGUAAAAAUGAGGAUAGAAAUAUUACCUUGAUCCUUGUUCUGAGUUAAUUUAGAAACUAUUCUUUCAAGUUGCAUCUCCGCAGCUUAUGGUACUGAGUAUUUCUGAUGCAAAAUCGGUUACCAUGGAUUUGAUUCUGCCAAAGGCAAAAGGAAAACAUAAAGUGGAGGUGAAGAGGACUUUUUCACAGUUCAAGAGUGUGAAAAAACUUCCAGAGGUUUUGUUUCAGAAAAUAUGCUUUUAAACGUAUUUGACGGUACCUUUAUCAACAGAGCCACAGAAUAAUAAAAGCUUAUUUAACUUGUCUUUCCUCUCCAUUAUUCCCCAAAGUCCAAGACUAAAUGAAGGAAUGCUCUCACCAACUGCAUCCCAUACGUCAGAAAUUUAUUACCACACUCCCUGGCACUAUUUCACCCAUCUUUCUAGAAUAUUUUAAUUCUAAACAGAAGGUAGGGAGAUUAUACUGGGAUCUAGACUUUAGUCUGAUGAUAACCUGGCACCUUCCAUUAAUCCAAAGAUCUCACUCAUUUUUUUUUAAUUAAGGAUUUUUAGAAUUUGUUCUUUUUAGAUAUAUAUGCCAGUAGAGUAUGUUUUUAGAUAUCAUACCUACAUGGAGUAUAACUUGUUCUAAAUUAGGAUCCUGUUGGUGUUUUUGUACAUGAUGUGGGGUUUCCUUGGUCAUGUAUGUAUUCAUAUACGAACAUAGAAAAGUUCUGUCUGGUUCAUUUGAUUCUGAACAACAACUUCAAAUUAGGCAUCCUUCACUAAGCCAUAACACAUACAGGACACCCUGCCAACAGGAUGGGCAUGCAAACUCCUCACCUCCGCCUAGGUGUCCCUCGUGUGCCAUGAUCACUCAACUCUCUGAGGUCUCCAAUUCAUGGAAUGGGCUCUCCAGCCACGAGCUGAACCCCUGUACGUUUUCUUGUCCAUACAACAGAGUGUGGUCCAGGCUGACAGGGAGAUGAAAUGGUCUCGAAGAUCCUUUUCAACAUUAAAGUCUUGAGAUUCCAUGACUGAAUCAGAGUUACAUGUACACAGAGGAUGCAACAGAACAUUACGGCGAAUCCAACAGGGGCUCCUUUCUUCCUUGAGUCCUUGAUGUACAGGGCGAAAUCCUACCUGAAAUACAGAGGUAUGUUUCUGUGUGUGGUUGCAGGAAAGAACACAGUAAGUGGGCGAGAGCACUUUGUCAGAGAUUCCUUUGGUCUCCAAUUUGGAGUUUCAGUGAUUUUGACAAAGGAAAGAAAGAAACAAAAAAACAAGAACCUGCUGCAAACCUCAAGAAUGAAGGGCCAUCAAAGACUGCAUUCUGUAUACGGCAGCAGCAGAGACGCAGUUAGAAAUGCCAAUCUUAAGGAAUACCUCCUGAGAGCCCCAUACUGUGCUGGGUGUUAAGGAACAAGAAAGCAACAGGGAAAUGUAGAGACAACAAACAGACACAGGAGAGCAGGCUGGGAGCAGCUGGGUAAAAGCUGGUCUCUUGGCCUAACAGGGAAUUCAUUUAAUAAUUUUUUUUGCAAUUAAUUUCACCUUUUUCAAUGCAUUAUUUUCUAUUUAAAGAAAUGUGUGUUCAAAAUGCACUAUUUUGAAACCAAAGGAUGUAAGUUGAGGGGAAUUAUAAAUUAGGCCAGGAACUCCACUUAAAUUGAUUUGGUUUAGUGUAGCAUGUUUAAGAGCGACCCAGUGUAAGGGAGGGGAUCAGACCUUUCGGAUUUAUAUCUGAUAUACUAUAAUUCCUAACUAAUUGAUUGUGGUUGCAAAUACUUAAAAGAGCCACUUGACCAUUCUGAAGUUAUUUCUCUACCUAGGUCAAUUGUCUGAAAUACCUAUUUCGUAAGUCCUCCAGUUUGAAAUUUAACCAAAUUCUCUUCCUGUGCUCUGGGUACCAUCUCUCCCUGUGCUCUUAUUUACCUUCCUGGAUGGGUUAUGCACAUUUCCUUCUUGACCUAGAACCUCUUCUCGACUUUCUUCUUCAGUUAGUAUUCACAAUAUUACGUCUUCUUCUUGAGGGAGAGAGAGAGCAAGCCACCUGAAUCCUGUGUCUUCUUCAGGUACAGCUCUUUCCCUUAGUUGCUCAUCCUGAAAGACUUUUCCCUGCGUCCUUUUCUCUCCCCACCACAAAUCUCUUCCUGUCCACUCUAUUCUGACUUCUGUCUCAACAGUGCCACUGGCUCACAUUGGCUAAUGAUCUCCAGGUUGUUACAUUUAAAAGACAUUUCACAGUCUACGUGAUAUGAUUUGUCUUCAUCUAGUUACCCUCUCUUUCUUGAAAAAGAAAGCUUGCUUCUCCCAGUCUGUUCCUUCUCCAUGCUUUGAGAAGCUGUCUUCUUCUAUGAGACUCUUCUUGGCUGACCCUUAGUCCACUUAGCUUUCGAAUCUAUUCUCUUUCCCUGCAGAUUUCAGCCAUUCCCACAGGCACUGGCCAUCUUCAGAACGACAGAGCCAUGUCAUCAACUGCCUAGUGAGGUGCCAUUACUGCCAUUCCCCUCAAACCUGUUCCUCUUCCAACAUCUCGCAACCCACCUAGUUACUUCUGCUGGAAAUGUAGAACUUGACACUUCCCCUCUCCUUUAGCUCACACAUUCAAUUGUAAGUCCUAUCCAUUUCUGAAAUGUGCAUCCUGCUCUCUCUUUCUGUCCUUCUCCACCCAUGGCCACCUCUCACUGACUCUUUCCGUGCCACUGUUCACGUCACAAAACGCAUUUUGCCAUAUGCAGAUCUGAGGGUGCCAUCUCUCUCUCUCUCUCUCUCUCUCUCUCUUUUUUUUUUUUGUGGAGCUGGGGGUUGAACCCAGGGCCUUGUGCAUGUGAGGCAAGCAUUCUAUCACUCUACCUACUGAGCUAUAUCCCCAGCCCUGACAUCUGACACUGUGACUCAGCUGCAAAGAAGUAAAAGAAAAUCAACAAAAUAAUAAAAAAAAAAAAAAAAAAAAGACAUAGAAACAGACCACACAAAAUAUCACAGGAUGCAUCUGAGAAAAAGAAAUUUAUUAAAACCUUAAGGACAGAAUGACAAGCUGCAAAGCUUAUUACAAGUAAAGCUUCAAAUCAUUCUCACAAAAAAAAGACCCUAAUGAUGUAAAUUCCUUUACAUGAACAGAAAAAUCAGAUUCAUUAAUACCAAGUCCCAUAAAAUUACUACGUCACUCUAGAAAACUACAUACUUCUCCUCCCAGCAUGUUUCCCCUAAGCUAACAAGCUAGGUCCUUAAGAGUACUAGAAAAAAGCAUAACUGGAUAAAAAUUACAGAAUGAAAUGAUAACCUUAUUAUCUUUCCUGAUAUUUUAUUAUUUCAAAAUACAGCCCAACUUCAGAGAUAGGCCACAGAAUACAGAAAAAAAACCACCUCCCCAACCACAGUCAUAACACCACUUAAUAAAGGAAGAGGACAUAACAAGGGCCAGUACCUCAAUUACAGAGAGUUUAUCUAGCAUGUGUGACACUGUGGAAAAAAUCCUUAAUACAAUAAAGGAAUAUACAAAUUAAACAAAAAAACUAUAGCCCUCUACAACUUAAAAAAAUAAUUUAUAAAGAAAAAAAAAUCAAUUAAAAUGAUGACCGAGAUAUACACAAAAAAAAAAUCUUUCCACUCUAACUUAACUUAAUAAUCUAUAGAUUCAAUUCUAUAUCCACAACAUGACCACAUUGAAACUACAAAAUGAAACAGCUACAACAAUAUUACCUUGAAGAAAUUUUUCUAAAAGGAUCUUCACACAUUAUGUCAAUCAAUGAUAUUAAAUCAGAAUGACCAAAAAGUAUUUUCUGGUAUAAAACAAUUAACAAAAAUUUGUAUCUCCAAAAAAAAAAAAAAAAAAAACAAAAAAAAAAACACCUAUUUAUACACAACCUCACACAAAAUAUCCCCAGAAGACCAAACCAUAAUUAGGUAUCACAUCAGUUAAAGAAAAAUAGGCAUUAAAGGUAGAAACAGUUUAAAAAAAGGAAGCACAGUCUUCUAAAACAAAAACUAAAUAAAUGAACGAAGGAAAUAAUAAAAAGAAAAAGGAGAAGCAAAAACCUUUGCACCGCCUGGUCCCUUACAUUGUAUCAUUCCCUCAGACAUGCACGAAUUGACUCCACCCCCAAGAAAUGUAAACGCUCUUCUUCCAAUCAAUUAGAUACACCAGGACUUACAAGAAAUAACAAUCACCAUACACAUUGCUUCCGGCCGCCUCCCCAUAAUGCCUAGUUUUCUUUUCCUCCUUUACUCCUUUUCCUUCCUUUAACAGAUGUGAGACAGAUAAAUGAUUUAAACUUCGAUUUUAUGAAUGUGAUUUUUGGCAUUGCUCAUUUUUUAUCCCGAACAGCCAAACUCUUAUUAAGUCCUAUUUCAAAAAUCCUUUAAAACUAAUAUUAAAGCCAAUUAAAAAUAAAUUAAAUAUGAUCAGAAAAGAAAAAUUUUUAUUUGGAAAAUGGGAAGAAAAAAAUAGCAACGAAUAACACAUCCUUAAAAAAUAAUCUCAUAAAGGAAAUACAAAAAAAAAAAAAAGGCUAAAGGUUUUAUCGAAAAAGUCUAUAGUCCUCUAUGUGAUACCCCAGUAACAACAUUAAUAAAUAGACUCUCCCAAAUCCACUAUCCAUUCAGCUUAUAAGAAAAAAAAAUUGUAAGAUACAUAAAAAGAAAGCCUUUUAAUACUAUCACCCUUUACAAGUGAUGGUUGCCCCUGACUGGGUAGGGGACUCCCAAAAAUUUACAGCAGUAGCUAUUAAGAAAAAAAUUGCAAACAAGUCACAAAAUCAAAGCACACAAUUUCAUCCUCAAAAUAAGAAAAAAGUAGGCUUAAAAACUCACUUCAUUACAUCAGACGACCUGGUAUAUGAGAUCUGAGCAAACCUCCUGAGCCCUCUUGCCCCUAACUUUCCUGGUUGUAAAAAGAAAGAAAUCUUAGUAUCAUCAGAUUUUUUACCAGGUAGCAAAAUGAAUACCACAAUAAUUAAGAAGACUCCACCAGAUGUUGGAUAUCUAUAUGUCUCUUAACAAUUCUCUUCACAAUAAACCAUUAGAAACUCUUAUUAUUCACAGAAGCAGAAUAUCUUAAAUUAGAUUCUGAACCACCACAAAGUCAAAUCAAUAAUAUUUUUAGAAUAUCUUUAAUAUCCAAAUACUUAUCUACAGCUAAGCUAAAAAAUAAGAUAUCAACGCUGGGGAUAUAGCUAAGUAGGCAGACUGUCAGAGAACAAAGCGCACAAGCAAAAGGCCUUAUGUUAAAAUACCACCUGAACAGCGGCCCACAAAUACUGGAACAGAAACAGAUGGGCUAAAAAAAAAAACGAAGGCAAGAGGUAGAAAGAAAGAAAAAAAUAAGCGAUCCAUUCAGUUAGUCAAUCCUUAUGUAUGGGUUACCAUGAAUAAGCAAGCCACUUUUAAUUUCUUUUUGUAACUUUUUGAAAGGCAUUCUUCUUUCCACAGUGCCACUGACUUUUCCCACUUGGAACUAUUCCACUCUCCUAACACCACAACUCAUAUGUGCCUUUACACAGUCAUUACUGGAAUAUUGUGUAAUUACUUAAUACUUCCAAGAACACAGAAUAUUUUCACUUGUCUUCCUGGACCUUGUGAUGUUCCUCAUGACCAUGACACUAGCUGGGUUAAGUACCCAGCUCACAGUCAACCACGAGAUUACAAGGAUUUGCUUCUGAUAGUUCUAGGUUAAGUGAAAUGAGUGAGUUUUCAAUAUUUAGUGUUUUUGUUUUAUGACUGUUUAUACGAAUAUAACCUCAUAAAUUUUCAACAAUACCAGAAUGGUCUGUGGUUGCAAAUACCUUAGUUUUUGUUGCAAGAGCCAACAAAUAAAUCAAGUUAGAUUGGAGCACUAGAAGUUGCUACCAAAUAUGCAGAGAAAAAAGAAACCAAGGCUCCUACAGUGGUGCCACCAGGGCUGGGUAGUGGGCUUUAUUAAAAGUUUUUAAGAGAGUUUUUGUUCAGAAAUAAAUGCUGACAAAGCAAGACACUCUAAAAAACAAAUCCCAGUUGCAUAUGGCUUUCUAAAAUCCUAGUAUAGACAUUUUUAAAAUUUAAACAAGUUUGUGAAAGAGUGUGUAUAUGUAUGAAUGGGUGUGUGUAUAUAUAUUUAUAGAUGUAUACAUAUAUAUAUAUAUUUCUUUUUUUUACUUUUUUGUUUUAAUUAGUUAACAUACAUGAGUAGAAUAUNUGGAGUCAUGAUAUCACUUAACAGAGGAGGAGGACAUAACAACCACAUUUCCAGAGAGUCUAUUUAGUAAUACUGUCACUGGGGAAAAACCUGUUCCUAUAAUAGAGGACUAUAGAUUUUUGCAAUAAAAUCUAUAGUCCUUAAUUUCUUCAUAAAUUAAUUUAUGAAGAAACAGUAAUUCAUUGCUAUGAUGUCCUAGAUCUACUCAAAAAAAAAAACUUUCUUCUCUAAUUAAAUUAAAUUGAUUAUAAAUUGGAUUCUUCAUCCCAGAGAUGGCCACAUUUGUACUGGAAAAGGAAACAGCUAGAACAAUAUUACUGUGUAAGAGAUUUUGAAAUUGGACCUUGUCACUAGGGGGCACUUAGGGAUAUAAAAUCAGCAUUGCCAAAAAGUACUUUCUGGAAUAAAACAAUUAGCGGUCAUAUGUCUUUUCAAGGAAGGAAAAGAAGAAAAGAAAAAAAAAAACACCUGUUUAUAGACAUCGUCAUUCAGUGUAUCCCCUGAUGGACCAUUUUUAGGUAUCAAAUUGGUUGGAGGAAGAGCAUUUACAGUAGGCACAGUUUUGAAGUCGGAAGCCCCGUCUUCUCUCUCCCUGUGGCUUUUACCACUGGAAGCAAUACCUGAAUGUGUUAAGGAGGGAAAUAAAAGAAAGAAAAAGGAGGUACAAACACCUUUGCCUUGCUUGGUCCCUUUCAUUGCCUCUUUCUCUCUGCCCUGGGCUACUUUACUCCUCCCCCAGGACAUUUGUCCGCCCCUCUCCUGCUCAGUUAUUUGGUCUUGGUUUUACAAGACUAUCUUUCAUUUUGUUUUGGUUUUUUUUCCCAUAAUGCCUAGUUUUGUUCUCCUGCUUUAUUGUUCUCCUUUGCUUUCACUGAUGUGAGACUGAAUUGUGGUUUGGGCUUUUAUGCCUGUUUUGUGUGUGUGUUUGUUUGUUUUACUUGUUUUUCUUUUUGGACAUUCAAACUCUUAUUAAAGCAUGCUUCUGGAGUCCAUUUUAACUAAUCAUUAUGGUAAUGGACAGUGUGUUGACUGAGACCAGAAGAGAAUAGUUUCUCACUCUGAUCAAGUAAAAUGGGAAGAAAAAAGGAGCAAAUAACACAUCCUCAUAGAAUAAUCUCUUAAAGGAAACAGACAAGCAGAAAAAACACAUUUCAUGGUGUAGAUACAAGACUAAAACCACAGAUUAAAAGGGAAAGGUGUAGCCGAAAAAGUUUGUUUUUGUCUGUGUGAUACCCCAGUAACCACUUUAAUUGAUUUUCUGUUCCAAAUCCACUAUUUCUUUAGGUUGUAGGGUGAAGAAGUUGUAAACUACAUAAAACCAUCAAGGACUAUCUUUACAGGAUGUCACAUCUUUCAGCAACACCUUAUAGUGAAGAUAAGGGACCUUCAAAUGCCCUCUCCCUUUAUUGGUGGUGGUGGUGGUUGGGGGGGUGGGGGUCUUCCUAUAUUUUGUACCCUAUCUAUGAAAUUACCCUGCAGUUAUAAUUAAGAAAAUAAUUGCAAAUACAAUUUACCAGGUCCAUGCCCAUCAUUUCAUCCUGUAAAUUGAAACAAAGAAAGCUUCUCUACACUUCACCCGACGACCUAGUUUGUGAGCUUUGGGCAAACCUCCCAGGAGGGGUAGAACUGGGUCUUCCAGAGUAAUGAAAUGAUGGUGUGGGACUGGGAAUCAUGAAUUUGAUUCCUCUUUCCCCUGACUCUCCAUGUGGUCAUGGGAAAGUCUACACAUCAUCAGGGUCUUUUAGGUAGGAAAAUGAUUAGGAUAAUUAUUAUGCAGAUUUCUCUAGGGCUUUGAUUUCAAUAAGCCACUCAGCACCCCAUUCUGCCCUCAACCUUUAAAUAAACUUAUUAUUCACACAAACAACAAGUGAUAUUUUGGAUGCUAAGUUUCCACAAAGUUAUUUCAAAAAUAUUUUUAGAAUACUGUUAAUUUUAUAUUACUUAUUUACAGCUAAGUCAAAGUAUAAGAUGUCAGGGCUGGGGAUAUAGCUCAGUAGGUAGAGUGAUAGAAUGCUUGCCUCACAUGCACA
rnacentral:lncRNA from 1 species